UGUCCAGCAACUCCUAUUCCUACCUCCUCGCGGUACUAGCCGGGGUAAGACUAACCUUAGGGAUGAUCGAGUAAUCAACCCCGGUGGGAGCUUUGGUCGUAUGCUGACAGGGAAGG
rnacentral:ribozyme from 1 species